GACGAACGCUGGCGGCGUGCUUAACACAUGCAAGUCGAACGGAAAGGCCCUGCUUUUGUGGGGUGCUCGAGUGGCGAACGGGUGAGUAACACGUGAGUAACCUGCCCUUGACUUUGGGAUAACUUCAGGAAACUGGGGCUAAUACCGGAUAGGAGCUCCUGCUGCAUGGUGGGGGUUGGAAAGUGUCGGCGGUUGGGGAUGGACUCGCGGCUUAUCAGCUUGUGGGUGGGGUAGUGGCUUACCAAGGCUUUGACGGGUAGCCGGCCUGAGAGGGUGACCGGCCACAUUGGGACUGAGAUACGGCCCCGCAUCCUACGGGAGGAAGCAGUGGGGAAUAUUGCACAAUGGGCGGAAGCCUGAUGCAGCAACGCCGCGUGCGGGAUGACGGCCUUCGGGUUGUAAACCGCUUUCGCCUGUGACGAAGCGUGAGUGACGGUAAUGGGUAAAGAAGCACCGGCUAACUACGUG
rnacentral:rRNA from 1 species